UUUAGACAGAACAAGAUGAAGGGGAAUGGGUUGGAAGCUCGAAGAUGAAGAACUGAGAGAUUGAGAGAGAUUAGGGAUUCAAAGAUGUGUGGUCUCCUUCGAACCGGUGGCAGUCACCUUGUCGCCCACCUGACCUAAUCGCCAGGAAAUUCAGCUAUCGUCUGCUUCUCCGAUCCUCUUCUUCGUCAUUGUUCUCGAACCUAUUUCCCUCGUCAUCUAGUUUGUGGAAAGGGCCAAUGCUGCUGAUCAGGAAUUAAUAGCAAGCUCAGGAAUAUUUGUGGAAAUGGACAAUGCUGCUGAUUCGAUACAAUGAAAGACCAUGUUCUGAAUUUCUUUGUAUUUGGGUAAAUGCGAUCUUCUUUGACUACAACAAGCUUCAAUUUGGCUUUGGAUUGAGCAUUGAAUGCACAAGUGGAUGAUGAACUACAAUAUUUUUUAUGGGCUAACAACCUAACAUAAACUUAACCAAACACUUUGAGUAAACAAUGUGAGUGAAUUAUUUUCAAUAUAUAUAGAUUGAUUAGAUGGUAUAUUUUUUAGAUGGGAAUAUUGGUGUUUGAUGAGUUGGGUAUUUAUAGAGGAUGAAGAUGGUAUAUUAUCUAACUUUUCUUCUUAUUGAAUGCCAUAUGCAUAUGUUUAUGGUAUUGUAUCUUUUGUUUGAAAAACUUUUAAGUACAAGAAACAUUACAAUUUCUCUUUGAAAUUUAUUGUUAUAACAUUUUAUUUCAUAAGGCAUAAACAAAAAGUCAUGACAAAGAAGAGAAAUAUAUUUUAUAUUUUUUUUAAAGAAAAAGUUAAAUGAUAUAUUACAAUUUAUAUCUUCCAGAAAAAGUACACAAUGAGUAACUUGCAAAGAAGAGAAAGGCUAUAAAUAUAAUACAAAUAGUAAUCUUCUUUGUCAUCAGGUUACUAGGCAAUGACAGUAGAGUUGAGCAUGACAAGUCUUUAAAUGCAUAAACCAGUUAGUGCAGGAUCAUAUCAUUAAGAUUAGAAAUCAAAGACUGCAUAUAUUGUAAGAAAAUAUGUGGCCCCUCCUGUAGGGGAUAUGUCGUGGACAUUUUAUUACACAAUUUGUGUUAAGAAUUGGAUGAAAUAUCUAUGUAUUAGAUAAAGAAUUCAAUCAUAACAGAAAUAAUGAGAAAAAUGUAUCUCAACAUGUUUUGCAAUCCUAGUGAAGCUAGUACAUCCAGCAGGUAACAAUCCUAGUGAGAGCUUAUGGCAAAUGAGUUACUAAAACAAAGUUUGCAAUUGCAUCUGAAAAAGAUGAUCAUAUAAUUCGAAUGGAAAAUGAUUAUAAAGAGUUGAAGGAAAAAGUGGUAGUUAUGGAGCAGUUGAUUCACUCUUUCAUGAAUCCCAAGGUAAAUUCGUUCAUUCUAAACUCUCAUAAUAUUUUGGUUAUUUGGAAUUUUUUUGGUUGGAUGACGAUUAUAGAGUGGGAGUGUUGGAACUCAAGGCCAAAGAUGCAAGCUUUUGGAUUGGAAUGGUUCUAGGAAUAUUGUUGCUUAUGGGUAUUUCAUUUCAAAUGAUCUGAAAGAUUUAGUUCUUGAUGUCCCUAUUGGACCAUUUGCUAUGAAGGUUGGUGUUGAUUUUGCAAAAAGGCCUGAUGCAUUUUUGUGGAAGCCAACUUCAGGGAUAACUUGAAUUGAAGAAAGUGUUGGAAGUGUUAUUGCUUGGCCAGCCGACAAAGUCAGAGGUAAUGAAGAUAACGACAUGAGACUUUGAUGCUUGCAAUUAAUAAAGAAAUAGUAUUGGACAAAUGUUAUAAUUUGCCUUUUAUUAGACUCAUUAUACAUACUCUUUCUAAGCAUGGACUUUUAUUAUGGUAUUUUGCACUUGAAAUUUUUUAUUUGGGACACAUGUAUUGAAUAUUUUGGUUGAUACAAAAAAUACAUUGGACUUUAUCAAA